rnacentral:rRNA from 1 species
AUGGGCCCACACAGGAAGUUGGGGAUCUAUGUGGGGUACAAAUCACCGUUGAUUAUUAAGUACCUGGAACCCCUGACAGGGGAUCUGUUCACAGCCCGUCACGCUGAUUGCAUAUUUAAUGAGGAACAUUUUCCAGCAUUAGGGGGAGAUUUCAUGUACCAGAAAGAAUGCCCGGAAAUUGAUUGGAAUGCUCAUUCCAUUUCAUCCUCCGAUCCACGCACCCAUGAGACCGAACUUCAAGUUUGGAAGAUCAUUAAUUUGCAACAUCUUGCAAAUAAUCUGCCAGAUUCAUUUACUGAUUUGAAAGGUGUUACAAAAUCCUUAAACCCGGCCAGAAAUGCGCCAGAAAGAGUGGAGGUACCAAUAAAAACCACUCAACUCCCUAUUCCUAAAAAGAGGGGGAGUAGUAAGGCCUCUGACCCGGAGCAUGCUUCUAGCAAGCAGCAAAGGAAAUCGAGGAGAAAAACCUCGGAGUCAGUAAAUGCAGGUCAACUCAACAUUGACAAACACCUGAUGGGUAGUAUACACCUAGUGGAAGGGCAACCUCCACAACCCAGUUCCAGUAUGCACAAACUGACUAGGACAUCGGAACACCUAGACUCGAUCGUAUUGGGAAAUCAAGAAGAGUCACUAGGGGUGCAGGAAAUUUCCAUCAACUAUGUUGAUUCUGGAGAAUCAUUUGACCGUAAGACUACGACUGUCAACAUAUAUUUUGCUGAAAAGAUUGCAGAUACCCUUCUCACUGAUCAUGAUCCAAGGUCUAUCGUUGAGUGCCAAAAGCGCUCCGACUGGCCUAAAUGGAAGGAUGCAAUCCAAGCAGAAAUUGCCUCGCUUAACAAAAGAAAGGUAUUCACUGAAGCAAUACCCACACCUCCCAGUGUUUUCCCUGUGGGAUUCAAAUGGGUUUUUCUCCGGAAACGGAAUGAGAACAAUGAGGUGGUGAGAUAUAAAGCAAGGCUCGUAGCACAAGCUUUCACGCAGAAACCCGGCAUUGAUUUCACUGAAACAUAUUCUCCAGUAAUGAGUGCAACCACUUUCCGAUAUCUUAUAUCUUUGGCAGUGAAAAAUCGUCUAUCUAUGUAG